rnacentral:rRNA from 1 species
GUGGGGUAACGGCCUACCAAGGCAUCGACGGGUAGCUGGUCUGAGAGGACGAUCAGCCACACUGGGACUGAGACACGGCCCAGACUCCUACGGGAGGCAGCAGUGGGGAAUAUUGCGCAAUGGGCGAAAGCCUGACGCAGCAACGCCGCGUGAGGGAUGACGGCUUUCGGGUUGUAAACCUCUUUCAGUGAUGACGAAAAUGACGGUAAUCACAGAAGAAGCCCCGGCCAACUACGUGCCAGCAGCCGCGGUAACACGUAGGGGGCAAGCGUUGUCCGGAUUUAUUGGGCGUAAAGAGCUCGUAGGCGGUUGCGUAAGUCGGAUGUGAAAACUCAGGGCUCAACCCUGAGAUGCCAUUCGAUACUGCGCUGACUAGAGUCCGGUAGGGGAGCAUGGAAUUCCUGGUGUAGCGGUGAAAUGCGCAGAUAUCAGGAGGAACACCAGUAGCGAAGGCGGUGCUCUGGGCCGGUACUGACGCUGAGGAGCGAAAGCAUGGGUAGCAAACAGGAUUAGAUACCCUGGUAGUCCAUGCCGUAAACGUUGGGCACUAGGUGAGGGACCUACUUAACGGGUUCCGUGCCGUAGCUAACGCAUUAAGUG